CGGGCACUGAGUGGAAGGGGAUGAAAGGAACAAAAGACAAAAGAGAUGCCUGAAUACAAUGGAAUAGCUCAUACAUUUUUGCACCGUUCAUCCCAAGAUUGGUGACUGGAAUAUAAUGGAAAAGGAGUUCAGGUUGAAGCCUUCUCAUGUUUUCUCUCUUGAAUCUUUUUGCGGUCUGGGCUUGCUGUUCCUUUGUCUGACAAUCAGGAAGCCCUUACCCCAAAAAGUAUUUGCGUGAGAUACACACUGCAGUGGGGCAUCAUCCAACAGAGUCAGCAUGUCUCAGUCUGACCUUGCAAGAGAGAAUUCAGAAGCGGAA